UGUAGUGUGCGCUGUGAUGGCUCAGCUGCUACAGCAUCACGGAAGAAGGCAGGUUGGAAAAGAUCUCUGAGAUCACCGAGGCCGAUCCCACGAAUCCCACCAUGUAAACAAAAACAUAGCACUGGGUGCCACAUCCAGUCUCUCCUUAAAUAACUCCAGGGACACUGACUUUACCACCCCCUUGGGCAGAUCUUCUGUGAAGAAAUUCUUUCCAACAUAAACCUCCCCAGCACAGCUUGAGGCUGUCCUCUUGUUCUGUCACUUGCUACCUGGGAGAAAGUGACCAACCCCUGCCUGUCUACAGCCUGCUUUCGGGCAGGUGUGGAGAGUGGAAGAAGAAUUGGAAAGCGACCAGCCCAGUUGUGCCAACUUUUGCCAGUUCACUAGGCUGUCAGCUAUGACUUUGGAGUCCCUGACCACCCAGGACCACCAAAGAGACCCCCAAGACAGAAGAACACAUGGAGAAAGGGGAGGGAACAUAUGUUAAGGACUUCAGAGAAAUGAUUCUCAUAUGUAUGUUUCUUCUAGGAAAUCCUGUCAAUGUGUAUGUAAAAUACAGUGCAUAAACUAGAGCUCUGUACUCAGCAUGAAUGAGAUUUUUGGAGGAGCUAUCCCCUCAUGCAUUCCAGCUCAAUAAAGAAUGCUGGCUUCUUAAUGCUG